UCCCAACAGAGUUGGGCAGUUCCCAGUGACACUUGUAACACGGGGUAAGGGUUGCGCUCGUUAACCAACUUAAUGGAACAUCUCAAGACACGAGCUGACGACAACCAUGCAGCACCUGUUCUACAGUCCCUUGCGGGAGGGCCAACCUUUCGGCCGGCUUACAGCAGAAUUUCAAACCCUGGUAAGGUUCCUCGCUUGUCAUCGAAUUAAACCAUAUGCUCCACCGCUUGUGCGAGUCCCCGUCUAUUCCUUUGAGUUUUAGUCUUGCGACCGUACUUCCCAGGCGGCCUGCUUAACGCGUUAGCUUCGCCACUCCGAGGGUCGAUACUCGAAACAGCUAGCAGGCAUCGUUUAGGGCGUGGACUA
rnacentral:misc_RNA from 1 species